UUUUUUUCUUUUUUAAUCAUCUUCAGUCCUUAAAGGCUUAAAGAAAUUGCAUGAGUUAACCAUUCAGACAUGGGAAACUCAUGUGAACCACCACAAUUGAAGUAAUUUAUGCUUAAUCAUCAUAACAAAGGGCAGAUAUGUUAAAACAAUAACUUUUUUACUUUUCUUGUCACUGCUUGAUGGAGAAGUGUAUAUUCUUUUAUUCAGAAACAAACAAGAUCCAUGAAGUUCUUAAGCAUAAGAGAUGCCCCAUUGGUCUUCUCUGGAUUUUCCUCAUUAUGUCUGGAUAUACUGAGUCUAUAAAAUGUAAGAGGGAAGAGAAAGAGAUUAAUGAAUAAUUGGACCAGACUCUUACUAUCAACAUCAGUAAGGAAGAUAUCAGUGUAAGUUCAAUGUAGUGUAAAGGAACCAAGCAACAUUAUUUUCUCAGAUAAUAGAAUGAUUAUGUAG
rnacentral:lncRNA from 1 species